rfam:Lupinus angustifolius cultivar Tanjil chromosome LG04, whole genome shotgun sequence.
AAUGGAAAAAUAUUGGCGAGGGAAGUUUGAAAAAUGGAUCUAUAACCUCAGGAAAAAGGAUUGGUUCUAAGGGAUGGGUACGUGGGUCCUAGUCCCAAACCCGUUGGUGUGUCAUCGCGUAUCGGUCGGGGGACGGAUUGGGAAUGGGCCCUUCAUGGCCUUUUCCUUGUGUAUCGAACAAUCGACUCAGAACUGGUACGGACAAGGGAAAUCCGACUGACUCUAGUCUGACUUUGUGAAAUGACUUGAGAGGUGUAGGAUAAGUGGGAGUUGGAAACAAUGGAAAUGAAAUACCACUACUUUUAACAUUAUUUUACCUAUUCCGUGAAUCGGAGGCGGGGCAUAACCCCUGUUUUUGGACCCACGGUCUGCCUCGGUCGGUCGAUUCCGGCAGAAGACAUUGUGAGGUGGGGAGUUUGGAGUUUGGUUGGGGUGACACAUCUGUUUAAAGAUAAUGCAAGUGUCAUAAGAUGAGCUCAAUGAGAACAUAAAUCUCGUGUGGAAUAAAAGGGUAAAAGCUCGUUCGAUUCUGAUUUCCAGUACGAAUAUGAACCACAAAAGCAUGGCCUAACGAUUCUUUAGUCCUUCAAAAUUUGAAUGUUGAGGUGUCAGAAACGUUACCACAUGGAUAAUUGGCUUGUGGCAGCCAAGCGUCCAUAACGACAUUGAUUUUUUAUCCUACCAUGUCGGCUCUUCCUAUCAUUGUAAAGCAGAAUUCACCAAGUUUUGGAUUGUUCACCCACCAAUAGGGAUCAUGAGUUGGGUUUAGACCAUCGUGAGACAAGUUAGUUUUACUCUACUAAUGAUAGUGUCUCAAUAGUAAUUCAAUCUAGUACGAGAGGAACCAUUGAGUUGCACAAUUGGUCAUCGCGUAUGGUUGAAAAGCCAGUGGCACAAAGCUACAGCGCAUUGGAUCAUGACUAAACGUUUCUAAGUCAGAAUCCGGCCUAGAAGCGAUGCGUGUACGCAUUGCCCAUUUGCCGACCAGCAAAAGGCACAUUCCAUUGGUGAGCCCCAUAGGUUGGACGAGCCCCACAGGAUGCCUUGAAGCACUAUUCCCCAUUGGGCGGCGGGUAGAGUCCUUUGUAGAUGAAUUAAAUAUGCGCCAGGGUAUUGUAAGUAGCAGAGUGGUCUUGCUACCACGAUCCACUAAGAUUCAACCCUUGUCGCUUCGAUUC